CAUCUUCCUGAAUUAGGACCAGAUAUUCUCCCUUAGCUUCCAUGGCCUUCCCUGUGCCCUUCCUCCUCCUCCUCCUUCUCGUUGCUCUGCUCGUGGUCGCCGCCACGCGGCUGUGGGAUCACGUCUUCGUGCGCCUCGUAUGGAGGCCGUAUGCCAUCACCAAGGGGUUCAGAGAGCAAGGGAUCCAUGGACCUUCCUACAGCUUCUUCAAAGGCUGCAACGAGGACAUCAGGAGCAUGAAGGAGAAGACCGACGGUCUCGUGCUGGACGUCGGCGACCACAAGUACCUCCCGCGGAUCGCGCCACACUAUCUCAAAUGGAGGGCUCAGUACGGAGAACCAUUUCUGUACUGGUACGGGCCACAGGCCCGAAUUUGCAUAUUUGACUAUGAAUUGGCAAGGCAAAUUCUUUCAAGCAAGUCUGGGCAUUUCGUGAAGAACGAUGCACACCCUACCUUGUUGGCUUUGGUUGGUAAGGGACUCGGGUUCAUGGAAGGCGCUGAUUGGGUGCGCCAUCGCAGGGUAAUCAACCCUGUUUUCACCAUUGAUAAGCUUAAGAUUAUGACAAAAACAAUGCUGGAUUUCGCCCAAAACAUGGCCAGUGAGUUGGAAGCUGAAGCAUCCCAAAGCGAGAACGGAGAAACAAGAGUGGAUAUAAACAAACAAUUCAGCGAUCUAACAGUUGACAACAUAGCCUAUGCCAUCUUUGGAAACAGUUAUAAGUUAGGUAAACAAGUCUUCCAGGCACAGACUGAGAUGUUGGGGAUCACCAUGGCUACUUUCCUUGACGUGCCGAUACCAGGAAUCCAGUAUCUUCCAACCAAAGCGAAUCGACGAAAACAGAUACUUGAAAGGAAGCUCAAGAGCUUACUCACACAGAUCAUACAACCACGGUUAGCGAGCGGUGAAUACGGAAAUGAUCUGCUGGGUGUGAUGCUUGAAUCCUGCACUGAAGCCAAGCAAGGAGGGAAGCAAGUGGAUGGUCUCAGCUUGAGCAUGGAGGAGAUCAUACAUGAGUGCAAGUUGUUCUUCUUCGCCGGCCAUGAAAACACAGCCUUCUCCUCACUUGGUCAGUGUAUCUGCUCAGCAUAUACCCCGAGUGGCAAGAACGGCUCCGGAAGGAGGUCUUGAGGGAGUUCGGUAGGGAAGCUCCUAACCCCAAUGCACUCAACAAACUGAAAGAGAUGACAAUGGUGUUAUUUGAGACAUUGAGGCUCUACUCGCCUGCCCUCUUCAUGCAAAGGAAGACCCUGGCCGACAUGACCGUGGGGUCAACAAAGCUGCCCAAAGGCAUAGCAAUUGUGAUACCUAUUCCGAUCAUGCAUCGAGACAAGGAGGCAUGGGGCGACGACGCAGACGAAUUCAAUCCGAUGAGAUUUGAGAACGGGAUCACGAGAGCCGCAAAAGUUCCUCACGGCCUGCUGGCGUUCUCAAUGGGACCAAGGAAUUGCAUCGGCCAGAACUUUUCGAUGCUGGAGGCCAAGUCGACGCUGGCACUGAUGCUCCAGAAGUUCUCCUUCGCUCUCUCCCCUGACUAUGUGCAUGCGCCUGUGGAUCUCUUCACUCUCAAACCUAAGUUUGGUCUUCCCGUGAUUCUGAGGCCACUCAAAAUAUAGAUUGCUCAAUCCCAUGUGUCUUUUAAACCUCCAUCCAUAUAUGUCUUUUAGACAUCGUCUUACUCAAUGAGUUAUAUAAUUGGUAGCAGAAAUCAACAAUGGUACAUAAUACAGGUACACAUUAUUCAAGUUAGGCCCUGUUUAGAAGGGCUUUUCUCGGCU